UGCCCCAGUAACGGCGAGUGAAGCGGCAAGAGCUCAAAUUUGAAAUCUGGCCUCCCCCGGGGGCCCGAGUUGUAAUUUGCAGAGGAUGCUUCGGGUGCGGCCGCCGUCUAAGUUCCUUGGAACAGGACGUCAGAGAGGGUGAGAAUCCCGUCUUGGGCGGGCGGUCCGCGCCCGUGUGAAGCUCCUUCGACGAGUCGAGUUGUUUGGGAAUGCAGCUCUAAGCGGGUGGUAAAUUUCAUCUAAAGCUAAAUAUUGGCCGGAGACCGAUAGCGCACAAGUAGAGUGAUCGAAAGGUUAAAAGCACCUUGAAAAGGGAGUUAAACAGCACGUGAAAUUGUUGAAAGGGAAGCGCUUGCGGCCAGACUCGGGGGCGGGGUUCAGCGGGUGCUCGUCGCCCGUGUAUUCCUCGUCUCCCGGGCCAGCAUCAGUUUCGACGGCCGGUCAAAGGCCCCCGGAAUGUGUCGUCUCUCGGGACGUCUUAUAGCCGGGGGUGCAAUGCGGCCCGUCGGGACUGAGGAACGCGCUCCGGCUCGGAUGC
rnacentral:rRNA from 1 species